GACGAACGCUGGCGGCGUGCUUAACACAUGCAAGUCGAGCGGUAAGGCCCUUUCGGGGGUACACGAGCGGCGAACGGGUGAGUAACACGUGGGUGACCUGCCCUCAGCUCUGGGAUAAGCCUGGGAAACUGGGUCUAGUACUGGAUAUGACUCCACGGUGCAUGUCGUGGGGUGGAAAGCCUUGUGCGGCUGAGGAUGGGCCCGCGGCCUAUCAGCUUGUUGGUGGGGUGANGGCCUACCGAGGCGACGACGGGUAGCCGGCCUGAGAGGGCGACCGGCCACACUGGGACUGAGACACGGCCCAGACUCCUACGGGAGGCAGCAGUGGGGAAUCUUGCGCAAUGGGCGAAAGCCUGACGCAGCGACGCCGCGUGAGGGAUGACGGCCUCGGU
rnacentral:rRNA from 1 species